GUGGGCGUAGCUCAGUUGGUAGAGCCCCGGGUUGUGAUCCCGGUCGUCGGGGGUUCGAGUCCCCUCGUCCACCCCA
rnacentral:tRNA from 1 species